UACGUAUGGUGCAAGCGUUGUUCGGAAUCAUUGGGCGUAAAGGGUAUGUAGGCGGGACUGUAAGUCAGAUGUGAAAACUACGAGCUCAACUCGUAGCCUGCAUUUGAUACUGUGGUUCUGGAGUUUGGGAGAGGCAAGCGGAAUUCCUGGUGUAGCGGUGAAAUGCGUAGAUAUCAGGAGGAACACCGGUGGCGAAAGCGGCUUGCUGGCCUAAAACUGACGCUGAGAUACGAAAGUGUGGGGAGCGAACGGG
rnacentral:rRNA from 1 species